AUUGGACUGCUGAGUAUAGGCGCGGGCGGACAAGCAUUUUUGACGAGGACCGUCCGGGACGUCCCAGAGAGGUAUAAAAAAAUUGGAGGACCGUUGGACUAAGUGCAUACGUCUAAAAGGAGAUUAUGUU